CAAACAGUCCUUUUCAGGACUACACAUCCUCAAGAAAGAUCUCAAU
rfam:Strongylocentrotus purpuratus Contig121166_fixed, whole genome shotgun sequence.